rnacentral:sRNA from 1 species
UUAAGCAAUUAAACGCGCCAAUUAUUC